GCCGGGGUGGCCGAGCCUGGUCCAAGGCGCGGGCCUUGAGAGCCCGUCCCCGCAAGGGGGCCCGGGUUCAAAUCCCGGCCCCGGCGCCA
rnacentral:tRNA from 3 species